rnacentral:rRNA from 1 species
GCUUAUGGCCAUACCACUCUGAAUACGCCCGAUCUCGUCCGAUUUCGGAAGCUAAGCAGGGUCGGGCCUGGUUAGUACUUGGAUGGGAGACCUCCUGGGAAUACCAGGUGCUGUAAACU